rfam:Ovis aries breed Texel chromosome 6, whole genome shotgun sequence.
UUCCUAGUGGUCCAGCGGCUAAGACUCUUCACUCCCACUGCAGGGGGCCAGGGUUCAAUCCCUGGUUAGGGAA